rnacentral:tRNA from 1 species
GGAUGGUGGCUCAGUGGCAGAGUGCUUGCCUCACAUGUAUGAGGCCCUGGGUUCGAUCCUCAGCACCA